GCUACAACGUCUGUAGUAAAACAGACCUACACAACACUAUUCAAAAUGAACCACAUAAUCGAUAACAUCAAACAGCCGGAACUAUUAACAAAUGAGCAACACUAACAGCUGUAAAAACGUGAAAUGUAAACAGCAAAGGUGAGACUCUCAACAUAAAUUAACAAAAAGAACACUAUUAUUCCACUUUACUUCUCCAUAUCGGGUCCCGGUUCCGGACCCGGCGUACCCGCCCUAUCUGAGACGAUCUCCUGAUCUCGUCUCAAUCAUCAGCCCUUGUCGGCUGUCAUGCCCCCUCUCCCCAUUAAUGGAUAUUUAGCCGGACAUUGUUUUCCUUCAAUAUCCAUUUACAAUCUCAUACAAGCGGACAUUUCAUUUCGACUUCACCCGGCGACGAACAAAAAAUGGAAGGAAGGCAAUUAUAAUGUGAUCGUUGCGCCAAUGGUAACAAGAUGCCCACAGAAAUGAACCUAGAACUGGGUAUGCCAAAAUAAUCAGUUGCGCAGCAGGUAUGUGAGGUAUUAAAUCGCUUAAAUCUACCUUACCCUACCUAAAGAGCUCUGUGGGGGCUGUAGAACCGGGUAUUCCAAAAUAAUCAGUUGUACAGCAAGUCUACCUUACCUUAAAUCUACCUUACCCUACCUAAAGAGCUCUCUGGUGGCGGUAAGGGGCGAUAGGUAUGUAUGUGUGCUUUGUUCGUGCAACUGCAAAGUUUUAAACUUUUAUAUUUAAUAGGUGCAAUAACAUUUGGGUCGGUCACUCGCUGUUCGCCCUUUAGAACGUUUUCUUGAGUGAAACUAGGCAUCUUUUCUUAGUGAGGGGUCUCGAACAUGAGUCGACGUCUGACUCUGCCUGCUACUCAGGGCAAGGGUAGACGACAUGGAACUGACUCACUCGGAUGAUGUGGGCGUGGUCUCGCCCGUGGCCGCUUCUUAGCCUUUCCUUCUGGAUAACGUCGGUGAUAUGUGCGCCGCUGAGCCGAAACCUGGACUGGGGGUUAAACUGCUGGCCCUCUCUGGUUCGAGAGCUGGUCCCUUCGUUGCCGGAACCGUGGGUCGUUUAUUUUAUGUAUUGUCUGAUAUUUUAUUUGUUCGCUCCGUGUCGCUCGUUAGUCUUAAGUUUUUCUUAAGUUUUGGUAUAUUU